ACGGGGAAUUAGGGUUCGAUUCCGGAGAGGGAGCCUGAGAAACGGCUACCACAUCUAAGGAAGGCAGCAGGCGCGCAAAUUACCCAAUUCUAACAGCAUAAGAGAGGUAGUGACAAGAAAUAACAGUACAAGGCAGUUAAAAUGCUUUGUAAUUGGAAUGAUAGAAAUUUAAAUACUUUUUAAAGUAUCAAUUGGAGGGCAAGUCUGGUGCCAGCAGCCGCGGUAAUUCCAGCUCCAAUAGCGUAUAUUAAAAUUGUUGCAGUUAAAAAGCUCGUAGUUGAAUUUUUGCUAAAAAUAACCGAUCUGCUUUUAUUAAUAAAAGUGGUAUCUUGGUGUGUUUUUAGCAAUAAUGUCCUUUGAAGUGUUUUUUACUUUAUUGCAAAAAGCAAUUUUCAGGAUUUUUACUUUGAGAAAAUUAGAGUGUUUCAAGCAGGCUAACGUUUUGAAUACUGCAGCAUGGAAUAAUAAAAAAAGAUUUUAGUUCUACUUUAUUGGUUUUAAGAACUAAAUUAAUGAUUGAUA
rnacentral:rRNA from 1 species